AUGCUUGUCUCGGCAGCUCAUACACUAAAAUUGGAAUGAUACAGAGGUUAGCGUGGCCCCUACACAAGGAUGGCACCCAAACUCAUGAAGCGUUCCAUAGUUUU